UUAUAAUGUAUUUUCUCUUUGAGCAUCAUUGACUGCUUGUAACCUUUAGGAUCUCAACAUCAUGAAGAACUCAAACACACAGUGCUUGCAACCUAAUCAAAGAUCUUACAGGACCUGGAGGCUUUCUGUGAACAAACACUAGGCAGGAUGGUACAAUCAAAACCAAGAGGCGGGAGGCGUCCCUCUCCUAAUCUUCUGAGGGGGUCAGAGAGUAUAAAAGACCUGUAACCCCUGCACCGCUCCCAAAGAAAGCCGAGCGUUGACAUCCACCCCUCCACAGGAGAGACAUACAUAAGAAACGGUGCAGCUGCACCCAGUCAACAGCCUGUCAAUCAACAAACCUGUGAGUGCAACCUUAAAAUAUUUAAAUAUCCAUAAGGAAUGAGUUGUUUUGUAA
rnacentral:lncRNA from 1 species